rnacentral:rRNA from 1 species
UGGGGAAUUUUGGACAAUGGGGGAAACCCUGAUCCAGCCAUCCCGCGUGUGCGAUGAAGGCCUUCGGGUUGUAAAGCACUUUUGGCAGGAAAGAAACGUCAUGGGUUAAUACCCCGUGAAACUGACGGUACCUGCAGAAUAAGCACCGGCUAACUACGUGCCAGCAGCCGCGGUAAUACGUAGGGUGCAAGCGUUAAUCGGAAUUACUGGGCGUAAAGCGUGCGCAGGCGGUUCGGAAAGAAAGAUGUGAAAUCCCAGAGCUCAACUUUGGAACUGCAUUUUUAACUACCGGGCUAAAGUGUGUCAGAGGGAGGUGGAAUUCCGCGUGUAGCAGUGAAAUGCGUAGAUAUGCGGAGGAACACCGAUGGCGAAGGCAGCCUCCUGGGAUAACACUGACGCUCAUGCACGAAAGCGUGGGGAGCAAACAGG